GACGAACGCUGGCGGCGGGCUUAACACAUGCAAGUCGAACGGAAAGGGCCUGCUUUUGUGGGGUGCUCGCGUGGCGAACGGGUGAGUUACAUGUGAGUAACCUGCCCUUGACUUUGGGAUAACUUCAGGCAACUGGGGCUAAUACCGGAUAGGUGCUCCUGCUGCAUGGUGGGGGUUGGAAAGUAUCGGCGGUUGGGGAUGGACUCGCGGCUUAUCAGCUUGUUGGUGGGGUAGUGGCUUACCAAGGCUUUGACGGGUAGCCGGCCUGAGAGGGUGACCGGCCACAUUGGGACUGAGAUACGGCCCAGACUCCUACGGGAGGCAGCAGUGGGGAAUAUUGCACAAUGGGCGGAAGCCUGAUGCAGCAACGCCGCGUGCGGGAUGACGGCCUUCGGGUUGUAAACCGCUUUCGCCUGUGACGAAGCGUGAGUGACGGUAAUGGGUAAAGAAGCACCGGCUAACUACGUG
rnacentral:rRNA from 1 species